UACGAAGGGUGCAAGCGUUAAUCGGAAUUACUGGGCGUAAAGCGUGCGUAGGCGGUUUGUUAAGUCUGUCGUGAAAUCCCCGGGCUCAACCUGGGAAUGGCGAUGGAUACUGGCAGGCUAGAGUGUGUCAGAGGAUGGUGGAAUUCCCGGUGUAGCGGUGAAAUGCGUAGAGAUCGGGAGGAACAUCAGUGGCGAAGGCGGCCAUCUGGGACAACACUGACGCUGAGGCACGAAAGCGUGGGGAGCAAAC
rnacentral:rRNA from 1 species